UUUUAAAACUAAAAACGUUCUUUUGUAUAUAUAUAUUUUGAAUAAUUUUUUUUUGUAACUAGUUAUAAUGAAAACAUUACGAGAUAUCACACCUAAUACAAAAGUUAAAUAUAUUUUUCCUGUCGUUUGCUCAAUCUUUUUAUGUGUUAGGGACGGUGAAGGCCCAUGUCUUCAUGUGGUUCAAGUGUGUUUGCCUUUGCGGAUCUGUGGUCGUUUGUGUCGCUUUAGCUUUCAGGCACGAUCUGAUCGAGAUCUGGUCCUAUGGUUAUGCUUCUAUCUAUGUGCAAAAGGUUGCCUUGCAUUCGACGUCGCCAUAUCCGGAAAAAAUGUGAAGAACUAUAAGUGGUUCCAUCUUUGCGGAUUAUGAAGUUCUGUUACUUUUGGGCAGUUUUUUAGAGGAGAAAUUUGAUUAUCGAGGUUUGGUCAAGGGCAUUUUCGACUUUUGUUUGGCAGAAGUCAUGCACCGACACAAGUCAGUUUCACUGUUCUCGGUAGUGGUUGAGUUGAGGAGACUCGAGAGAAGAGAAUCCAACGGUAUACAAACAAAACCUUUCUCGAUAAUCAACGGUUGUUUUUUCAUGUUUUCAUGUUUUUUUUUUGUUUGAGUUUGGUUUUGGUAAUAAAACGCUCUUUCCACGUCACACGUGUGGUUUCAGGUGUCA